rnacentral:rRNA from 1 species
UACGGAGGGUGCAAGCGUUGCUCGGAAUUAUUGGGCGUAAAGAGCUCGUAGGCGGUCUGUCACGUCGGCUGUGAAAACCCGAGGCUCAACCUCGGGCCUGCAGUCGAUACGGGCAAACUAGAGUACUGCAGGGGAGACUGGAAUUCCUGGUGUAGCGGUGAAAUGCGCAGAUAUCAGGAGGAACACCGGUGGCGAAGGCGGGUCUCUGGGCAGUAACUGACGCUGAGGAGCGAAAGCGUGGGGAGCGAACAGG